rnacentral:tRNA from 1 species
AGCCCCGAGGUGUACGACAUGUCGGAUUGCAAAUCCGAAGUGGCAGAGUAAAUCCUGCCGGGGCUU